UAAGGAAUAUUGGACAAUGGAGGCAGCUCUGAUCCAGCCAUGCCGCGUGAAGGAAUAAGGCCCUAUGGGUUGUAAACUUCUUUUAGACGGGACAAAACCCCUUUACGUGUAAAGGGUUGAUGGUACUGUCAGAAUAAGCAUCGGCUAACUUCGUGCCAGCAGCCGCGGUAAUACGAAGGAUGCAAGCGUUAUCCGGAAUUAUUGGGUUUAAAGGGUGCGUAGGCGGACUAAUAAGUCAGUGGUGAAAGCCUGCAGCUUAACUGCAGAAUUGCCAUUGAUACUGUUAGUCUUGAGUACAGUUGAGGUAGGCGGAAUGUGUCAUGUAGCGGUGAAAUGCUUAGAUAUGACACAGAACACCGAUUGCGAAGGCAGCUUGCUAAGCUGUAACUGACGCUGAGGCACGAAAGCGUGGGGAGCAAACA
rnacentral:rRNA from 1 species